GAUGAAGAACGUAGCGAAGCGCGAAAUGUAAUGUGAAUCGCAGAACAUUGUGAAUCAUCGCAUCUUUGAACGCACAUUGCGCCUCCUGUUACAGGGAGGCAUGCCUGUCUGAGCGUCAUUUAAAACCAAUGCCCCCACCUCGUGUGGUGGCGUCUUGGGCCCUUCGUCGGCAUUAAUGUCCACGUGGCCACAAAGUCAUUGGUCUAGUUGAGCGGACGAAGAUCCUCUGGGACAGAGACCGUUCAUGAGACCCUAAAUCCUCCCUGAAAUUGACCUCAGAUCAGGUAGGACUACCGCCUGAACUUAAGCAUAUCAAUAAGCGGAGGA
rnacentral:misc_RNA from 1 species